rnacentral:rRNA from 1 species
UACGUAGGGGCCUAGCGUUGUCCGGAAUUAUUGGGCGUAAAGAGCUCGUAGGUGGUUCGGCACGUCGGCUGUGAAAUCUCCACGCUUAACGUGGAGGGGCCAUUCGAAACUGCUGUGACUUGAGUCCGGUAGGGGAGUGUGGAAUUCCCGGUGUAGCGGUGAAAUUCGUAGAUAUCGGGAGGAACACCGGUGGCGAAGGCGGAUCUCUGGGCCAUUACUGACGCUGAGGAGCGAAAGCGUGGGGAGCGAACAGG